GGAAGCUCAUCAGCGGGCCACGUGCUGAGUGCUGGUCACUCCCAGGCCCUGGGUAAGGACUGAGACUGGCACCUCCCGUGGCCAUAACUGUGCCCUCCAGGAGUGGAGAGGUAAGUUCCCUGAGAGCAGGGCUCCAUGUGUGGGCAGGCUUGGCAGGAGAGGCCCCGAGUGGGCAGAUGCUUCUCUGGCUGGAGCUUGGAACAGACUCAUGGCCAGAGCAGAAUGAGUUC
rnacentral:RNase_P_RNA from 2 species